rfam:Schistosoma mansoni strain Puerto Rico chromosome 1, complete genome
AUCCAGCUGACGAGUCCCAAAUAGUACUAAACGCGCGUCAAACUGGAU